GAAAUAACACCUUCAUUUGGACAGUCUAAACACUCUGUAUCUCAAAAAAAGUGAGAGCCCUGAUCUUUGCUGGCCGUUAGGACAAUUCAAUCAUAGAAGACAUGGAAACACCAAAGCUAAGGGUGGAAAUGGCGAUCUGUGCU
rnacentral:lncRNA from 1 species